GGGCCCAUAGCUCAGCGGUUAGAGCCCCCGGUUCAUAACCGGUCGGUCCCAGGUUCGAAUCCUGGUGGGCCCA
rnacentral:tRNA from 1 species